GACGUAGGGGGCGAGCGUUGUUCGGAAUUACUGGGCGUAAAGCGUGUGUAGGCGGCUACGCAAGUCGGAUGUGAAAGCCCCGGGCUCAACCCGGGAAGUGCACCCGAAACUGCGUGGCUUGAGUACCGGAGAGGUUGGUGGAAUUCUCGGUGUAGAGGUGAAAUUCGUAGAUAUUGGGAAGAACACCGGUGGCGAAGGCGGCGACCUGGUCCUUGACUGACGCUGAGGCGCGAAAGCGUGGGGAGCAAACAGG
rnacentral:rRNA from 1 species